UUCCUCACUCCACCUUCCCAGAGGGUCAGUGUGCUGCCUUGAGGUGAAGGACCCGUCUGGAAUCAUCCGCCCCUGUUGAGGGUCAGCUCCCACCUCUCCUCACAGCCUCCAGCUCUCCACAAAGCCACCUUCAUUUGAGGAGAUGGUGUUACCAUUAGGGACAGGCAUGGGGCUGAGAGAAAAGCCAAGGCAAGCUGGGGAUGGAGCUUGGGAUGUGCUGUGGGCUGUGGGAGCGAGGAGCAGAGGGGGUGAUGGUGUGGGUUGAGCACCACGUCCAUGAGGAAUGGCUGUUUGCCUGCAAAGCUGCUUGCGGGUCAAGGGGACUCACAUUUCUGCUAAACAGUCCGGUAUAUCUUCACCUUGUGUAAUCUCAGCUGGACCCUUUGCUGUCGUGCUCCCCACCUGUAAAACCUCUGCUUUUGAAUCUUAAGAGAAAUCUUUACGGUGGUCAGUAAAUCCUAAUGCUGUGCUUGUUCUGUUUUAUGAGAUUUCCACUAACACUCGGCUGUGGAGAUUUGUCACUUGUCCGAUCUAACAGCUCUAAGGACACAGCAGACUUAGGCUGAGGGGGGAAGAAGUCAGCUGGCUCCAUCGCGUUUAAAUGAGCUUCAGGUUCGGUACAUUAAUGUGCUAAUAAGGAAGUCUUGUGUUCCCACACUGUUCUUAAAGGCAUUCUCACACUGCUGACCUGACCUCUUUAAUCCUGGCUUUCCUGAAGGAAAAUCUGAUCCAUCAGGCCUCCUAUAUCUAAAAUGGGAUGAAAGGAAGAGAUGGACCUAUUUCUAUGCUGGUGUUUCUCAGAAGUCAAAGAAACUCCACUGAAGUCACAAAUGUGAAGCCAGUAGUAAUGGCAGCAGAGUGGGACUUCUCUACAACACAGUGUGGUUACCUUCCAGUAGGGCCAGUCUGCAAGAAUUCAGGGAAGAAUGAAAGCUGUGUAUGACAGGUCCAUUGUGGUCUGUGGUACCACAUAGUCCCCAGAAUACUCAACCUUAGAAUGUUGUGCAGCCCUGAGAUGCAAAACACUGCAUCCCUGUGCUCAGAGCCAGCCCAAGGUAUUUGAACCACAGCCUAAGGAGCUGGUGGGAGCCCUCUUGAAGGCUUGAAGUGCAUCUAAUACAUGAGUUGUUCUGCCAGGGCUUAUGUCUGUCUUAGUUAAAGCUGCCAAGCUAUGGAUAUUGCCAGGCUACAGCUGACAGAAAUUAGUAAGGAUAGUUGUAAAUGAAGUUUUGUAAUGUCCUAAGUCUACAAGGGAGCUUUUAAAAUCAGUUCACAAGCUAAACAGUGAUCCAACUGUUCUGAGACUUUCCAAGAGAUUGCUUGGUUUUCCAUUUUCCCCCCUGUAUUUUCAGUUCUGGGAUAUCUCUUUUGUUAAAUGGAGUGCUUAAGAGUAAACAUAGUGAUUGCAGUCUCUGGAAACCUGUGAGGCUACGAGGGAAAUCCACCAUAGCGUUUCAAAUAAAUAAAUAAGUCAAAGGUUUGCUUAGGAAUUUGUCACAAACCUCCAAAGCGAUGCAAACGCCCUCAGUAUCUUGUUUCAUUCCCAGCUGGAGAAGUCAGGCCAGAAUCACUGAACAUUUCACCAAGUCUUGCUAACCUCCUGAGCUGAGUUGUGAGAAAUUGUUCUUGACAUCACAUGAGCUGGGCCACAAGGCAGGACUAAUGUGAUAUUUGCUGUCGAAGCAUGUUUCCUAGGAAACAUGGUACUUAGAGAGCUCAGCCCUCCCUGCCACCCUUCCCGCAUCCUCCAGUUUCACCCGUUCCCACAGCAUCUGCAGAGGGCAGGGAUGUCUCCUCUGACCCCCAGACACCCUCAGUGUGGACCUCCCGCUGCAGUGUGAUGCUUCCCAGCAGCCCAUGCACCCAGCUGAAGGCUGAGUGGUUGUGGAGGUUCUGAUUCACCCAUCUCAUUGCCCUUUUUACUGCGAUUUAUCCAUUUCCCUGCCUUUUCUUUCUCCAGCAGGCUGCAAUGGGAGCGAUAGAGAAGCUAGGUUAUAUCCUUCAAGACUGCUGCUGGAGAGAAGGAAGUUUGAGCCUUCCCAGCAAUCUUAGCAUUCCCUGUCGAAGGAGAACUGGUGGAAAAAUGAUAGGAAAAUCAGCAGAUUACUUAAAACUUCACUUGCCAUGAGGCUCCUCAUCUUUUUUGACUGCAGUUUGCAGUACAGUAGUUAUUAUGGUACAGGGAUUUUUAGAUCAUUGGGGUUCCCCAGUUCACUCUCACAAUCUCAUCUAGUGGCUGUAGAUGCUGUCCUUGACAUGAGACUAGCAUAAAUGAUUUCUGUCAUUCAGGCCAAACUUUUCAGCAGGAUAGUUCCCAUUGAGGAUGAAAUGAAAGGAGUCGGUUCACACAUGUUAACCAAAUGCAAAUCCUUAGAUGGAAACUCAUGGUCAGCUUUUUCCAAAGCUAUUUUCAGAACUUCCACAAAAGACUGUGCUGUGAUUAUAUGUAUUCAUGAUAUGUAUAUCAUGCAUUCAGCUCAAACAAUAUUUGAAUGAUGCAUUUAGAAUUCCUCCUAAAAAAGGACCAUGCUUCUGUAAACUGCAUCAUAUUUGUAAAAGAGGAAAAAGAAACCUAGCUUGCUUUUCCUUUCUUUCUCUCUUUCUUUUUAAUAUACCAUUUCAUAAGGCUGUAAGAAUUGGUGUUAAUGCUACGAUACACACAGACACACUUCUACAUAAUCAGAUGCAUUUGCAUGUAUGCCAUACAUAAACAACCCUAUGGAAUCCCGACUCUUCACUGUUGAAUUUGUCUCCUUAUUUUUCAAAGCAGAGAAGCCCCUGGUGUCAAGCAGUUGGUGUUUUUUACUUUCACUGGACUGUAGAGCAAAUACAGCCAACAAAAUAAAGCACUCGGGGGGUUGUA